CCUACGGGAGGCAGCAGUGGGGGAUAUUGCACAAUGGGGGAAACCCUGAUGCAGCGACGCCGCGUGUGGGAAGACGGUCCUCUGGAUUGUAAACCACUGUCCCCAGGGACGAAAAUGACGGUACCGGGGGAGGAAGCUCCGUCUAACUACGUGCCAGCAGCCGCGGUAAUACGUAGGGAGCGAGCGUUGUCCGGAAUUACUGGGUGAAAAGGGCGCGGAGGCGGGGAUGCAAGGUGGGUGUCAAAACUACCGGCUAAACUGGGAGUCGCACUCAAAACUGCAGCCCUUGAGUGAAGUAGAGGCAGGCGGAAUUCCUAGUGUAGCGGUGAAAUGCGUAGAUAUUAGGAGGAACACCAGUGGCGAAGGCGGCCUGCUGGGCUUUUACUGACGCUGAGGCUCGAAAGUGUGGGGAGCAAACAGGAUUAGAUACCCGAGUAGUC
rnacentral:rRNA from 1 species